UGGGGAAUAUUGCGCAAUGGGCGAAAGCCUGACGCAGCGACGCCGCGCGAGGGAUGAAGGUCUUCGGAUCGUAAACCUCUGUCAGCAGGGAAGAAAUUUUAGUGUGCUAAUCAGCAUUAAAUUGACGGUACCUGCAAAGGAAGCACCGGCUAACUCCGUGCCAGCAGCCGCGGUAAUACGGAGGGUGCGGGCGUUAAUCGGAAUUACUGGGCGUAAAGCGCUCGUAGGUGGUAUGUCAAGUCAAGGGUGAAAUCCCCGCGCUCAACGUGGGAACUGCCUUUGAAACUGGCAGACUGGAGUGUGUGAGAGGAUAGUGGAAUUCCAGGUGUAGGAGUGAAAUCCGUAGAUAUCUGGAGGAACAUCAGUGGCGAAGGCGACUAUCUGGCACAUAACUGACACUGAGGAGCGAAAGCGUGGGUAGCAAACAGGAUUAGAUACC
rnacentral:rRNA from 1 species